UCAACUUGAAAGAGUACUUACAGCUCUUCUCCCUUUAUUGGCAGCAAAAGUUGCUCCAACCUUCUUUGUUCUUCCCCCUUUUCCUAGUGGAGCUCUACUAAUCUGUUCAUUUUUACAAUAUCAUGACCAAGUUUCCCAUAAUUUUUGCAUUUGUUAUGAUGUUUUCUUCUUUUGACUCUCAAUGAAGCUGCUGCCUGCUCACUAGCUUCCCUCUUCUUAUUUUUACAAUAUCGUCAUAGUUAACUUCAAGCUUAUUAUCACCACCAUACUCAGUUUUACAGUGCUUAUUGCUUUUUUCAGUAGCUCAAGUUUGUGUUCUGCCUUUGGCGUCAACACCCCCUCAUGCUUUGCAAUGCCUCCUUGUUUCAAAACAAUUCUCUUCAUAAGAAGCCUUCUGAUGAACUCCAUUGAUCUUUAAUGGUGUCGGUAUUUUACAAAAGCAAGUUACCUCUGGAGCUUUAUUCUGAGAGUUUUUGGGAUGCAGCCAUGGCUCAGCUUUGCUUGAGAAGAAGGUCCUUUGGGAAUUUAUUUGCUCAGGCUGCUGCAAUUUGACGAGGGUGUAAGUUGGAGUGGGAAUUGACUUUUGUUGCAAAUGCAAAUUCAUCAUAUCACAACUAUAUAUGUGCACCCAUGGUUACUGUGAUGAAUGCCCAGGCUCAGGUCACUGUGACGAACUUGAAUUUUUUGCCCGUUGCUCAAAUAUUACCGUUGGCAGCUUGCUAUGACUUUGUGAGCUGUAAGCUCACCGUGGUGCUAUUAUACAUGGUUUCUCAUUUUCUCACAGGUGCAUGUCAAACAUUGGAAGAUGAAGAAAUGUAAAAAAGGCCUACGGUUUCUUGGUUUCAUAGUGUUCAAACAAACAUGUGGAAAUUGAAACUUUGUUUUCAAUCCAUUAAUUUCACUGUGAAACAAACAAAAAAGUCAAAUCGGGGAAACCCCACUGAAAUGUCAAGAAAUGGUUUUCAUUCUA